CUAGCGCGACUCAAGACCUCCACACAGUGAUGCCCUCCCGCUGCUGCCGGCCCCAGCUCCAGCUCCAGCUCCAGCUCCAGCUCCAGCCCCGGCUCCCACUCCUUUCCCCCGAGACUGCCCUCUAUCUGGGCCACCAAGCCACUCUGCCCCGCACCGCUGGGAACAAAGGAGCCGGACGACUUCAGCAGAGCAAGGAGCCUGGAGUGUGACCUGCCUGGCGUUGGCCGUGGAUGACGUGUGCCCAUUUACGUCUCGAGCUGGAGUGGGCAGUGCGUGCCAUGCGGCGAGCUGAUUACUUCCUUUCUCGAGCUAAUGACCUUCCUGAGAGGGAGUGUGGCUUCCCGCCCACGUGCAGCUGAGAUGCACAAAGAUCAGGCCCAGGCAGUGUGACAGCGAACCAGGUGGUGAUCAAAGAGUCUCAAGCAGCUGGAAGGGAGCGGACAGACGUUGGACUUAACCAGCACCCGGUGACAAACACGAGGGAGAGAGAGAGAGAGGAACUGAGAGACACAGAGAGAAGGAGAGGCAGAGGGAAAGGGAGAGAUUUCCCGAGAGAUUGUUUCGAUGAUAGACCACAUUAGAGGAAACGGAGUAUAACUAACUGCAGCUCGUUGACAUUGCACACAUAUUAUCUCCCGCACACACAAAACACACACCAACGCUCCCUCGACCCUGACCAUCCACCAGA